rnacentral:rRNA from 1 species
AUUGAACGCUGGCGGCAGGCCUAACACAUGCAAGUCGAGCGGAGCGGCGGACGGGUGAGUAAGGCCUAGGACUCGGCCUGGUAGUGGGGGAUAACGACCGGAAACGGGCGCUAAUACCGCAUACUAUCAGAUGAGCCUAUGUCGGAGUAGCUAGUUGGUGGGGUAACGGCCUACAAAGGCGACGAUCCGUACCUGGUCUGAGAGGAUGAUCAGUCACACUGUAACUGAGACACGGUCCAGACUCCUACGGGAGGCAGCAGUGGGGAAUAUUGGACAAUGGGCGCAAGCCUGAUCCAGCCAUGCCGCGUGUGUGAAGAAGGUCUUAGGGUUGUAAAGCACUUUCAGCGGGGAGGCGUUACCCGCAGAAGAAGCACCGGCUAACUCCGUGCCAGCAGCCGCGGUAAUUC